AGCUCCAAUAGCGUAUAUUAAAGUUGUUGCGGUUAAAAGCUCGUAGUUGGAUUCCUGUAUGGAAAGUGCGUCCCUGCCCUUUGGAUGGGGGCUGCUUCUUUCUUUGCAUCAUCUGGAGUAGGUGUCCUCACUUAACUGUGAGGACAUUCGUACUCUGGGCAUUUACUUUGAGGAAAAGAGAGUGCUCCAAGCAGGCAAACGCCUGAAUACGUUAGCAUGGAAUAAUAGCAUCGGAUCAUCGUACAGCUGUUGGUGUCUGGACGAAGAUAAAGGUGAACAGGGAUUGUU
rnacentral:rRNA from 1 species